ACCUCCAUUCUCAAAUCUCCUUUCUCUUCUCUCUUAGUUUUCUCUCUCACCCUCUCUAUCUUCCUCCUUCUCUUCUCUAUCUCCUAGGGUUUCUCUCUUGUCUUUCUCUCUGCUUCUCUCUCUUCUCACUUCUCUCUUCUCUUUUCUCCCAGUCCCUCUCCUCCUUCGCCCUCUCUGCAUAUCUUUGAACCAUAACCCCUGUUGCACCCACGAACCCUAAAUCCUAUCCCAAACAGAAACCCCAAGUUUCUCAACACUCCCCAAAACCUAGCCCCCUGGUCUGUGUCAACUCGGAGUGAUCUGGUGGUGCCAUAGCGAAUGGUGAGCCUGAGGAAAAAAGGGUUUUGUUCGAUUCCAAAAAAUACUCAGACCAGAUAAGUUCACUUUACUUCUAAAAUUGUUUUCUUCUUCUUUCCUUUUCUGUUUGUUUUUCGUUGUGAAAAAUACUGGUGAUGUGUGUGAUAUGAAUGGGGAUGCAAGUUGAUGAUGGCUUUGGUUUAAGGGUUUCGGUUGUAUGUGCAAGGGUGAAGACGAGUUACCCUCAUCUCGGUCCAGGUGAGUUAGUGAGUGAGUGAAAUCGUGGUUGACUCGUGCGAGUCAACCCGGGGUGAGUGGAGUGAGUCAAGCCAGGGUUGACUCGUAUGAGUCAACCCGGAUGGGUCAUGUGAACCCGGGUAACCCCGAGUGAGCCACGUGGGCUCUGUCACGUGCUCGAGUCACGUGUGAGCUUUCGGGUUUUGAAACUCAAUUUGGGCCUCUAGGUUUUCAAAUUAAAAUGGGCUUAUGUUUAAAACUCGAGUGGGCCAGGGGUAUGUUUAGAUUGAGUUGGGCCUUGGUUGUAUUAGGGAACGAGUUAGGCAUGGGUGUUUCAGGAAGUGGGUUGGGCCCGAUUUGUAUUUAAAAAAAAAAGAAAUGGGUUGGCCCACUUUUUUUAAAAAAAGAGGCCCGAGUUAUUAUUUUAAAAACAGGUCGGCCCGAGUUUAUUUAAAAAGGGCUGGUUUUUGAAAGAUGGGUAUUGGGCCUGCUUUAAAAUAAACAAGUUAUGGGCUGAUUUUUAAGAAAAAUGGGUGUUGGGCUUUCUUUUAAAAACUAGUUAUGGCCUGAUUUUAAAAACGGGUUAAUGGGCCUCGGGUUAUGGGUUGGAGUUGGACUUUAGAAACGGACCAACCCACUUUGAAUUUUAGAAACAAGGCCCAAGGUUCAAAUGGUUUGAACCUGAACUCAGGUUCGGGCUCAUGAUCAGGGUUAGGGUUCGGGGGGUCUGUUCUGGGUUUGAGUUCAGGUUCAAGACCUGAGAAGGGGGAGGGUACCUGCAGUUCAAUUUUUCACUCGAUCUAGCAUCAAAUGAAUUCAAAGAAAUAGGAAGGAGACUUAGAAAUUUUACCUGCUCCUUCUUACUCUUCCUUUCUUCUUUUUUCAGACUCUGGGUGUGUUUGGCUUGAGGUGUUUGGCUCAACUCUUCUACAACUCUUUUCAGUCUCCUCCCUCUAUAGGACUCCUCUCUAUUCUCUACACGUUUUAAUGUAGAGUUUGUUCUGCAAUUUGGGCAGAACUUCUCCUUUGUCUCUCUCUCUCUUCUCAACCCUCUCUCCUCUCUAUAUUUUGGCAAAGUUCCCUCACUCCUCUCAAUUGCUCUUUUCUUCCCUAAUUUUGUAGAGUGAUCUUGUAUUUCAUCCCCGUGUCUAGCUACAGUGUGAGCCUCCCUAUUUAUAGAGAGGCUGCGGGGCUACUUUGGCGCCAAUUCCUCUUCUAGCGUGGAUUAUUUUCAUAGAAUUCCCUAGUGAAUUGGGAAACCCAGGUGGCAACAUAGGAAUGGUGGGCAUGGGGAGGUUUCCAGGUGCAGACCCAGAAUGGACUGCUUGGAUGGACAUGCCCAGAUGGCUGGCAGGGAUAGGAGGGCUUGGCAUCUCUGUAUUUUUUUGUUUUUUAUUAUUAUUUUCCUUUGUGAUGCAUGCACCCCUAGGUUGUUUUUCCUGCAACCCCUAUUUGUACACACUUGUAAUUUGUACUUUUCCUUAAUUUCCUUUGUAUUUAUUUUCUAUUGUAUACUUUUUGCUUC